rnacentral:rRNA from 1 species
UACAGAGGUCUCAAGCGUUGUUCGGAUUCAUUGGGCGUAAGGGUGUGUAGGUGGCGCCGUAAGUCGGGUGUGAAAUUUCGGAGCUUAACUCCGAAACUGCAUUCGAUACUGCGGUGCUUGAGGACUGGAGAGGAGACUGGAAUUCAUGGUGUAGCAGUGAAAUGCGUAGAGAUCAUGAGGAAGACCAGUGGCGAAGGCGGGUCUCUGGACAGUUCCUGACACUGAGACACGAAGGCCAGGGGAGCAAACGGG